rnacentral:rRNA from 1 species
CGUAGGGGGCAAGCGUUGUCCGGAAUCAUUGGGCGUAAAGCGCGUGUAGGCGGCUCGGUAAGUCUGCUGUGAAAGUCCAGGGCUCAACCCUGGGAUGCCGGUGGAUACUGUCGAGCUCGAGUCCGGAAGAGGCGAGUGGAAUUCCUGGUGUAGCGGUGAAAUGCGCAGAUAUCAGGAGGAACACCAAUGGCGAAGGCAGCUCGCUGGGACGUGACUGACGCUGAGACGCGAAAGCGUGGGGAGCAAACAGG